CUCCUCUCAGGGUCACGCCUGGAGAAUUUCCAGUACUCUACCAGUUUUGGCUGUGGUAGGGAGAGUCAAGCAAAGGCCUAACCAUUCCAUUCCUAGCUUGGGCAGUAGCUAGUGAGUGGAAAGCAAUCUGCUACAAAU